GCUGAAGGGCAUGGGAGAAAUCUCUACAGUUCAUUUGCAGCUUUUCUGUAAAUUUUAAGUUAAAUUGAAGUAAGUUGGUUUUCUUAAAAGGCUCUUUGUGAUUGCAGCUGCCUAGAAUGAGGACAGUAUGGGAAAGAUGCCCAGUGAAGGGACAUGGUCUCUGGUUUUCAAAUUCUGCUCUGUUCCCAUGUUUGAUCAGCCCAACUCCAUGACCCAGUGACUAGUCACAUCUGAACAACCUAUUGAUAUCCCUGGUAUUUCAGAGGUAUCUGAAGAUUAAAGCCAUUUUAUAGGAGAGAGAAUGAAAAAUCCAACUCAUCAUUCAAAAAAAAAAAAAAUAACAAAUAUCUGUGGGGCCAGAAUACGCCGGAACUACUGAUCCUCCUCACAUCCAAAUUAAAUGUCAGGAUCCAAGAGAGAGUAAACAUAGGGUUGCAAUGGAGGGUCUGUCUCCUGCUCCUUAAAGGUUUGAAAUCUGCUCCUACAAGACACCACCUUCACCCCUGGGCAGCAGGCUACCAAUUCCACCAUCACUGUCUACAUGAAGUGAAAGGUUAUCCAUUUGGUCUAGAAAUUUAGCUUUUGAAAGGGAAGGAUGGGAUUUUGAUGAAAUACCAUGGGAAACACAUUCCCCAAAGAAGAACUAUAAAUAUUUCUGCUUUUCUCACAAGAUCUUUGUACUUGCUCAAACUAAAUGAAAACUGGAAAAAUUCCUAAGCCAAUAAAAAAUUUUAUCUACUCC
rnacentral:lncRNA from 1 species